rnacentral:tRNA from 1 species
GCUAAUAGGGCUGCUAUCGCAGGCUACUUUGAUAUAGUAGAUUAAAAACGGAUUGUUUCGUUAGUA